rnacentral:piRNA from 1 species
CAAUUUUAAGAAGGUGUCUAGG